rnacentral:snoRNA from 1 species
AAGACUAUACUUUCAGGGGUCAUUUCUGUAGUUGGUCACUAGAGGAGAGUGAUCGCUCCUGAUCGGCGUCACAAGCCACGAGGAGGAGCGUGGUGCUCUCUCCUGAGCGCGAAGCGGGCGGGCGGUGCUGCUUGUGCAGGGGCCGUCCGCCAUUGAUGACCGUUCCCGCCUCCUUCGGGAGGUUGGGAGGGAGAGAGCACAGGCUGAGUGGU